rnacentral:rRNA from 1 species
UACAGAGGAUGCAAGCGUUAUCCGGAAUGAUUGGGCGUAAAGCGUCUGUAGGUGGCUUUUUAAGUCCGCCGUCAAAUCCCAGGGCUCAACUCUGGACAGGCGGUGGAAACUACCAAGCUCGAGUACGGUAGGGGCAGAGGGAAUUUCCGGUGGAGCGGUGAAAUGCGUAGAGAUCGGGAGGAACACCAAUGGCGAAAGCACUCUGCUGGGCCGACACUGACACUGAGAGACGAAAGCUAGGGGAGCGAAUGGG